GAUGAACGCUAGCGAUAGGCUUAACACAUGCAAGUCGAGGGGCAGCAUGGGCUUAGCUUGCUAAGACUGAUGGCGACCGGCGCACGGGUGCGUAACGCGUAUGCAACUUGCCUCACAGAGGGGGAUAACCCGUCGAAAGACGGACUAAUACCGCGUACACUCUAUUUUGGGCAUCCAAGGUAGAGGAGAUGAAGUUCGCUGUGAGAGAGGCAUGCGUCCCAUUAGCUAGAUGGUGAGGUAAAGGCGCACCAAGGCGACGAUGGGUAGGGGAACUGAGGGGGUGCCCCACCACACUGGUACUGCGGCCCGGACCCGACUGCUACGGGGGGCAACGGUGAGGUAUAUUAGUCACUGAGCGAGAGCGUGACCCCGCCAAGUCGCGUGAAGGAUGACUGUCUUAUGGAUUGUAAGCUUCUUGUGUAGAGGAAUAAAGAGGGGCACGUGUGCCCCAGUGACGGUACCCUACGAAUAAGCAUCGGCUAACUCCGUG
rnacentral:rRNA from 1 species